rnacentral:RNase_P_RNA from 1 species
AGGAGGUGGUGCGGCGAUUGCGGACUGGUUCGCCAGUCUGAGGAAAGUCCGGGCUCCCCAACGAGCGGAUUGCUGGGUAACGCCCAGUGCGCGCGAGCGUGAGGAUAGUGCCACAGAAACAUACCGCCGAUGGCUGUUUCACAACAGCACAGGUAAGGGUGCAAAGGUGCGGUAAGAGCGCACCAGCAGCAUCGAGAGGUGCUGGCUCGGUAAACCCCGUCCUGAGCAAGGCGUGGGGACACAUGGGUUGCUCGCUGACCGUCCCCCGAUAUGCCGCUUGAGGCGGUAGGUAACUACCGUCCUAGACAGAUGAUCGCCCUCGAACAGAACCCGGCUUACGUCCACCUCCUCUAU